rnacentral:rRNA from 1 species
CGUAGGUGGCAAGCGUUGUCCGGAAUUAUUGGGCGUAAAGCGCGCGCAGGCGGUUCCUUAAGUCUGACGUGAAAGCCCCCGGCUCAACCGGGGAAGGUCAUUGGAAACUGGGGAACUUGAGUGCAGAAGAGAAGAGCGGAAUUCCACGUGUAGCGGUGAAAUGCGUAGAGAUGUGGAGGAACACCAGUGGCGAAGGCGGCUCUUUGGUCUGUAACUGACGCUGAGGCGCGAAAGCGUGGGGAGCAAACAGGAUUAGAUACCCUGGUAGUCCACGCCGUAAACGAUGAGUGCUAAGUGUUAGAGGGUUUCCGCCCUUUAGUGCUGCAGCUAACGCAUUAAGCACUCCGCCUGGGGAGUACGGCCGCAAGGCUG